rnacentral:rRNA from 1 species
GAGUUUGAUCCUGGCUCAGAACGAACGCUGGCGGCGUGGAUAAGACAUGCAAGUCGAACGGGACUUAAUCUGUAGCAAUACAGGUUAAGUUUAGUGGCGAACGGGUGCGUAACACGUGGGCAAUCUGCCGAGAAGUGGGGGAUAGCUCGCCGAAAGGCGAAUUAAUACCGCAUAUGAUCAGGGACGACAUCUUCCCAACAUCAAAGCCGGGGUAACCUGGCGCUUCUUGAUGAGCCCGCGGCCUAUCAGCUAGUUGGUGAGGUAACGGCUCACCAAGGCUAUGACGGGUAGCUGGUCUGAGAGGACGACCAGUCACACUGGAACUGAGACACGGUCCAGACACCUACGGGUGGCAGCAGUCGAGAAUUUUUCUCAAUGGAGGCAACCCUGAAGGAGCGACGCCGCGUGGAGGAUGAAGGCUUUCGGGUUGUAAACUCCUGUCAUUUGAGAACAAGUGUAGCUAAGUAACUACUGGCUACUUGAUAGUAUCAGAAGAGGAAGAGACGGCUAACUCUGUGCCAGCAGCCGCGGUAAUACAGAGGUCUCAAGCGUUGUUCGGAUUCAUUGGGCGUAAAGGGUGCGUAGGUGGCGCCAUAAGUCGGGUGUGAAAUUUCGGAGCUUAACUCCGAAACUGCAUUCGAUACUGUGGUGCUUGAGGACUGGAGAGGAGACUGGAAUUCACGGUGUAGCAGUGAAAUGCGUAGAGAUCGUGAGGAAGACCAGUGGCGAAGGCGGGUCUCUGGACAGUUCCUGACACUGAGGCACGAAGGCCAGGGGAGCAAACGGGAUUAGAUACCCCGGUAGUCCUGGCAGUAANCGGUGCACGUUUGGUGUGGGGGAUNCGACCCNUCCNCGCCNGANCUAACGCGUUAACGUGCCGCNGGGGAGUACGUCNCAGAUUAAACUCAANAAUUGACGGGGCCCCACAACGGUGAAUAUUGNUUAUUCNAUGCACCCGAAACCUUACAGGCUUGACUGCNUUCUANUUGUGAANCACGAUNCNAANNUACUGNCAGUCUGCAGCUNCCCCCUCNNUCUGNAUUGGUUANUCCCACAAGCACC